UCCCUCUUAGCUCAGUCGGUAGAGCGCAUGACUGUUAAUCAUGAUGUCGUUGGUUCAAGUCCAACAGGGGGAG
rnacentral:tRNA from 1 species